UAAGCAGAGAUCAAAUCAAUCAGACAGACAGCUGGAGAACCAGGAACAAGCCCACAAGCAGAGCUGACUCAAGGCUGUCUAUGAACUCUGGACCCAGAUAGGCUAACAUUUCCACCAAUACAGCAAACUUUUCCAAAAGCUAAGGAUGGGCAUCAACAUGAUAUCAGAAUAAGGAGUUUCUAAAUAUCCAGAUUGAAAAAAUGUGUCAUCAAGGAACCAGAAGAAUAUUGUAUUUGAGAGAAUGACACAAUGAACUGUAGCUAGUCUGUCUUCACAUGUAAAAUUCCUAUCAAUCUGAAACUUCAUCAAACCAGAAAAAGCAGUACCAAAUACUACUUGGAAGCAAAAGCAUCAAAAUAUCAGUGGUAUUAUUAAAUAGCGAACAUAUUUCUUUUUCGAUCAAGAUUAAUAAUAUAUUAAUUCAGGAGGUAGAUUUAACAUUUCUAUAGUUUGAGAGUUAAGUUUGGUUGAGAAAUAAGGGAUUAUUCUGUAAUUUUCUCAGACAGUAGGCAAAUUGUUUUAACAAGCUGAACAGUUGUGGGGAAGUGGAAUAUCAACAAAGAUGCAUGACCCAAAUGACUUUUCCAGUCACCUUAAACUUAACUCAUCAAAUGUUUCUUGGAAAAGUCUUAAUAGUUACACAUAGUACAGACAUGACUGUCUUAUCCUGAGUUUUGCUAAAAGCAAAGUCUGAAACAAAUGCUAAUAUGUGAGAAGUUAUUUUGGGAAUGUGAUUUGAAAGAGCAGAAAUGAGUGGCAGAUAAAUGGAAGGGAGGAAAGCCAAUACAAAGAUGAAUUACUGAGUUGGGUCGUUUGGUCCUAAAGGGCCUUUUGAGGAGCUUUAUGAAAUAUGUGUUCAAACCAUCUGUGCAGGGUAAGAAACGAGAAGCAUUUGUCUACAAGCUCCUCUUCCUGAUUGGCCCAGACCCCCCAACAUGUGGUUUGUACAUGUUUCAGUACCAGGAAAUUUCCAGCAGGUGUCCUAUAUAGCAUCAAAGAAGCCCCAAACAGAAAGCAAGAGAGGUGCUUCUUGGUGAACUGUGUGAAGCUGGAGAAGUCUGCCUGAUAUUGGUUGCUACAAUAACUGAAGUAAGAGAUGAAGAUAAUUCAGCAGGUUCCAAGAAAGGUGAAAUACAAAAGAUUGCUUAAAGGGCAUUUGAAACUAUCCAAAUGAAUGAAGCUUCUAUAGAAUUAUCACAGAAACUCACAAUUCUCUCCUUCUGGGAUGCCAUGACACUUCAUGUAGAAGAGGAAUGUUAUUAAUCUCAACCAUUCAAAAGCCAAGCAGUGAUAAUACCACUUUGUCAAUCUCUUUUAGGAAAAUAAAGCAAAAUACUUGCACAAAAUUAGUUAUUACAAUGUUAUUUAGAAUAUUGAAGGGGUUGCAAGCAGCCAAGAUAUCCAACAACAGGACAUGUUUAGGCAAAUUAUGCCACAUCUAUUUGUUAGAUAAUCUAAUUUGGUACUUUAAAAAUUCUCAGUUGUAAUGUGGAAGAAUUUCUGAAAUAUCAAGGGGAAAUAAAUAUGUAAUAUUGUGAUUACCACUGUGUAAAAAUACACAGGAAGAAAAACCUAAGAAGGGUCCACAUCAAAAUGAUACCGGAUGUGUUAGAGCGAUGUUAUAAUAUAAGUUUUUUCCUUGUUUU
rnacentral:lncRNA from 1 species